rnacentral:rRNA from 1 species
CCGGCCUGAGAGGGUGAACGGACACACUGGAACUGAGACACGGUCCAGACUCCUACGGGAGGCAGCAGUAGGGAAUAUUGCUCAAUGGGCGCAAGCCUGAAGCAGCAACGCCGCGUGGAGGAUGAAGGUUUUAGGAUUGUAAACUCCUUUUGUGAGAGAAGAUAAUGACGGUAUCUCACGAAUAAGCACCGGCUAACUCCGUGCCAGCAGCCGCGGUAAUACGGAGGGUGCAAGCGUUACUCGGAAUCACUGGGCGUAAAGAGUGCGUAGGCGGGGUUGUAAGUCAGGUGUGAAAUCCUAUGGCUUAACCAUAGAACUGCAUUUGAAACU